rnacentral:rRNA from 1 species
AGUGAACGCUGGCGGUAGGCCUAACACAUGCAAGUCGAACGGCAGCACAGUAAGAGCUUGCUCUUACGGGUGGCGAGUGGCGGACAGGCGAGGAAUACAUCGGAAUCUACUUUUUCGUGGGGGAUAACGUAGGGAAACUUACGCUAAUACCGCAUACGACCUACGGGUGAAAGCAGGGGAUCUUCGGACCUUGCGCGAUUGAAUGAGCCGAUGUCGGAUUAGCUAGUUGGCGGGGUAAAGGCCCACCAAGGCGACGAUCCGUAGCUGGUCUGAGAGGAUGAUCAGCCACACUGGAACUGAGACACGGUCCAGACUCCUACGGGAGGCAGCAGUGGGGAAUAUUGGACAAUGGGCGCAAGCCUGAUCCAGCCAUACCGCGUGGGUGAAGAAGGCCUUCGGGUUGUAAAGCCCUUUUGUUGGGAAAGAAAAGCAGCAGGUUAAUACCCCGCUGUUCUGACGGUACCCAAAGAAUAAGCACCGGCUAACUUCGUG